GUAGUACUGUACUGCCCUCACAUCAACCUUCUUCAUUUAUCACAUGAUUAUUCAUUUAUCACAUGAUUAAAUAAAUAAUCACCCACCCUAAUUUUAAGGCUUGCAGUUCCGAAAAUUGGAACCGCCUGCAAUACAAAUACUAUCCCCAUAAAUAAACAUAGAAAAUGAAAGAAUAGGUGGUGGAUGAACUGAAAAUUAGUGUGAUUGAUUGACAGGAGGAGGUGGAAGGUGAUUUUUAGAUGGUUAUUUGUGUGAUGAUGAAGAUAAGUAUUUGAUGUCUUGUUUUUAUUUUUUUUUCCUGAUUCGGAUCUACGAUCAUCGAUAUCAAUAAUUAAUAUUAUCCCAAAAUCAUCAAAAGUUCCAAUUUAACAAGGCCGCUACGUAUCAUUCGAUGACCGACGCACGAACAAACAACAACCAACUGCCACAACCACAUGAGAAAGUGGAGGAGGAAUCAAUUGUAUUACACUCUAGAAAGAGUGUGGAUGAUGUUUGGAAGGAGAUUGUUAAUACCUGUAAGCAGGAGCCCCCGGAUCCUCAUGAGAUGAUGACUUUAGAAGAUUUCUUGGCCAAGGCCCAGGAAGACGAUGUGAAAAUUCCCCUUCCAACUUUGCCUUUGCCUUUACCGAGUGAAAGAUUAUUAAGUGGCGGAGGAGGGAUUUUCAGUUCCGAUGUUGUCGGAGUCGGAAGGGGAUGUGGGAAAAGACGAGCAAUCUUGGAGCCCUUAGAUAAGGCUGCUCAACAGAGGCAAAGAAGGAUGAUUAAGAAUAGGGAGUCUGCCGCACGGUCCAGAGAACGCAAACAGGCAUACCAGGCUGAAUUAGAAUCUCUAGCACUUAGAUUGGAAGAGGAGCACGAGACUUUGUUAAAGGCAAAGACAGAGCAGACUAGAAAAAGAUAUAAUCAGCAUUAAGAGUGAAUGCCACGUAGUCGCGUCAUAUCUAUCAGUAUUUACCAAGAAACAUUCUGAGAAAAGGGUUCAGAGAAGGAGAAAGAGCAAAUUGUCAAUAUAUAGAAUAGGCGAGGGAAAAUCAUUGUUCAUAACAGAGCUGUCCCCUUCCCCCGCAUGCUGAUGGAAAACAUAAUCCCAGUUACAGAGAAACAAAAAUCCACAAGAUAUGUGUUGAGGAAAGUUCGGUCCAUGGAGUGG